rnacentral:rRNA from 1 species
UGGGGAAUAUUGCACAAUGGGCGCAAGCCUGAUGCAGCAACGCCGCGUGAGGGACGACGGCCUUCGGGUUGUAAACCUCUUUUGGCAGGGAAGAAGCGAAAGUGACGGUACCUGCAGAAAAAGCACCGGCUAACUACGUGCCAGCAGCCGCGGUGAUACGUAGGGUGCAAGCGUUGUCCGGAAUUAUUGGGCGUAAAGAGCUCGUAGGCGGUUUGUCGCGUCUGCUGUGAAAACCCAAGGCUGAACCUCGGGCCUGCAGUGGGUACGGGCAAACUAGAGUGCGGUAGGGGAGAUUGGAAUUCCUGGUGUAGCGGUGGAAUGCGCAGAUAUCAGGAGGAACACCGAUGGCGAAGGCAGAUCUCUGGGCCGUAACUGACGCUGAGUAGCGAAAGCAUGGGGAG